rnacentral:tRNA from 1 species
UCCCUGGUGGUCUAGUGGCUAGGAUUGGGUGCUCUCACCUCCAUGGCUCGGGUUCGAUUCCCGGUCAAGGAA